AGACUAAAGUUUGGAUUUUUAGUAUAGUUUUCUAACCUGUAGCUUGAGCCCUAAACCACUUUGUGGUGAGGGGAAAUUCUGGGACCAGCAGCAGCCUGACUCCUGCAUGAAGAGGACACCUGCCAGUAGUGAUCUCUGCAGUGGCUGAGGAGUCCAGAGCCAUCUCUGAACCCAAGGAUAAUUCACGGAGUUCUUCUGGAGUGGCAGCGAUGAGAGGUGCCCCCUCCACACAGACAGAACACCUGACCCUGAGGAGGAGGAGAAGGAAGAGGACUAUAUGGAGGACAUGUACUGCAAGAUCCUGCAAGACAACUAUUUCCUACAUGGAGGAAAGCCAUGAAAAACAGUUGGGAGCAGCCUCAACAACACAGUUGUACGCAGAGCGGGGAUCCCUGCAUGAUGGAAUCCUAGGAUCUUCCAAGGCAGCAUGGAGUACUAGAGCAACAGAGCGUCCGGUGAAGUCAAUGGGUAGUCAGAAGAAUUUGUGUAAAGCAUUUUCUCCACAUGCUGGUUUUAAAUAUGUAUGUAAACAAUGCUGUGGCCCACUAGCUUCCAUGAAAUUUAUGGCAGCUGUUUUCACUGGAAGGCUUCUUUUCAUUUGAGAGAAAAACAAUUCUUGCCAAUAGACUGGCCUUAUGGCAUCCGGUAACACAAAUUGAUGCAUUGUCCGGUGUUCAGAGCAGCAAAGGGAUAAUUCUGAAGGCAGCACUGAAAAAAAAUAACUAGAACUUCACUCUCCACAGACAUUUUGAUUAAUUGACCAUCUGCUUCUCCACUGUAGCUGUGAUGUUUCUUUUGCAGUUCUGCCCUUAACAUAAGUCAUUGAAGAAAUCAUGUAGUGUUUAGCUACAAGAGAUGUUUCUAUUAAACCAUCAAAAAUAAACAUUACAUAUAUAUUUUUAUCAGAUUAAGUGUGUAAAUUCUGUCUGUGCAUCUUAAAGCUGAACCCCUCACAAUUAAUUGUUAGUAUCCAUUAGUCCCUUAAACUGAAGUAAAUGCUCUUCCAGGCUAGAAUGUAUUAAAUAUUUGUUGGUUUAGGUGGGCAAUGUUUAUCAAAAGAGACGCAAAACAUACAUAAUGGAAAAUGUUAGCAGAAAAUGAGUUCCAUAGACAUUAUAGAACAUUGUACCCUUGCUCUGCUCUCUUCCAAUAACCAAAUUGAGAGAAUCCAUUAAGACGUUUAUUACAAUCCACUAAUGGUCUCAUUUCUAUAGGGCAUUACAAUUCCAUUAGUCUUAUUAUCUGACAAACUAACCAAAUCCAGAUAUGAAGGGCAAGUACCAAAUUAGAUGCUCUCACUAGAUAAAAAAAAAAAAAUUGAUUUCAGCACUGGAGAAGCUGUGUAUAUCUGCAGUACCAAGAAAAGUAACUCAUUGGUGAGGCUCAAAGAGAGCUCAGAAU